rnacentral:rRNA from 1 species
UACGUAGGGGACAAGCGUUGUCCGGAUUUACUGGGCGUAAAGAGCGCGCAGGCGGUCGGUCAAGUCGAGUGUGAAAGCCCCCGGCUCAACUGGGGAAGGUCAUUCGAUACUGAUCGACUCGAAGGCAGGAGAGGGUAGUGGAAUUCCCGGUGUAGUGGUGAAAUGCGUAGAUAUCGGGAGGAACACCAGUGGCGAAGGCGACUACCUGGCCUGUUCUUGACGCUGAGGCGCGAAAGCUAGGGGAGCGAACGGG